rnacentral:rRNA from 1 species
AUUGAACGCUGGCGGCAGGCCUAACACAUGCAAGUCGAGCGAGCGGCGGACGGGUGAGUAAUGUCUGGGAAACUGCCUGAUGGAGGGGGAUAACUACUGGAAACGGUAGCUAAUACCGCAUACCAUCAGAUGUGCCCAGAUGGGAUUAGCUAGUAGGUGGGGUAACGGCUCACCUAGGCGACGAUCCCUAGCUGUUCUGAGAGGAUGACCAGCGACACUGUGAAGGAGACACGGUCUAGACUCUUACGGGAGGCAGCAGUGGGGAAUAUUGCACAAUGUGGGCAAGCCUGAUGCAGCGCUGCCGCGUGUGUGAAGAAGGCCUUCGGGUUGUAAAGCACUUUCAGCGGGGAGGCGUUACCCGCAGAAGAAGCACCGGCUAACUCCGUGCCAGCAGCCGCGGUAAUUC